GGGGGGGGGGGGGGGGGGGGGGGGGAGGGGGGGGGCGGGGGGACGGGCGGGGGGCUUGCUCCUCGGGCGUUGGCGGCGGACGGGUGGGUGACGCGUGGGGAACCUACCUCUCAGACUGGGAUAACGUCGGGAAACCGGAGCUCAUACCGGAUACUAUAUUGAACCGCAUGGUUCAAUCGUGAAGGACGUUUUUGCUGUCACUUAUAGAUGGAUCCGCGCCGCAUUAGCUAGUUGGUAAGGUAACGGCUUACCCAGGCAACGAUGCGUAGCCGACCUGAGAGGGGGAUCGGCCACACUGGAACUGAGACACGGUCCAGACUCCUACGGGAGGCAGCAGUAGGGAAUCUUCCGCAAUGGGAGAAAGCUUGACGGAGCAACGCCGCGUGAGUGAUGAAGGUCUUCGGAUCGUAAAACUCUGUUAUUAGGGAAGAACAAAUGUGUAAGUAACUAUGCACGUCUUGACGGUACCUAAUCAGAAAGCCACGGCUAACUACGUG
rnacentral:rRNA from 1 species